UACGAAGGGUGCAAGCGUUACUCGGAAUUACUGGGCGUAAAGCGUGCGUAGGUGGUUCGUUAAGUCUGAUGUGAAAGCCCUGGGCUCAACCUGGGAAUGGCAUUGGAAACUGGCGACCUAGAGUGCGGUAGAGGGUAGUGGAAUUCCCGGUGUAGCAGUGAAAUGCGUAGAGAUCGGGAGGAACAUCUGUGGCGAAGGCGACUGCCUGGACCAGCACUGACACUGAGGCACGAAAGCUGGGGGAGCAAACAGG
rnacentral:rRNA from 1 species